AGUGAAGCGGCAACAGCUCAAAUUUGAAAUCUGGCCCUCGGGUCCGAGUUGUAAUUUGUAGAGGAUGCUUUUGGCGCGGUGCCUUCCGAGUUCCCUGGAACGGGACGCCUUAGAGGGUGAGAGCCCCGUACGGUUGGACACCAAGCCUCUGUAAAGCUCCUUCGACGAGUCGAGUAGUUUGGGAAUGCUGCUCUAAAUGGGAGGUAAAUUUCUUCUAAAGCUAAAUAUUGGCCAGAGACCGAUAGCGCACAAGUAGAGUGAUCGAAAGAUGAAAAGCACUUUGAAAAGAGGGUUAAAUAGCACGUGAAAUUGUUGAAAGGGAAGCGUUUGCGACCAGACCUUUUCCUAGCGGAUCAUCCGGUGUUCUCACCGGUGCACUUCGCUAGGUUUAGGCCAGCAUCGGUUUCUGUAGGGGGAUAAAAGCUCUGGGAACGUAGCUCCUCCGGGAGUGUUAUAGCCCUCUGCAUAAUACCCUUACGGGGACCGAGGACCGCGCUUCGGCAAGGAUGCUGGCGUAAUGGUCGUCAACGACCCGUCUUGAAACACGGACCAAGGAGUCGAACAUUUGUGCGAGUGUUUGGGUGUUAAACCCUCACGCGUAAUGAAAGUAAACGGAGGUGAGAGCCCUUACGGGUGCAUCAUCGACCGAUCCUGAUGUCUUCGGAUGGAUUUGAGUAAGAGCAUAACUGUUCGGACCCGAAAGAUGGUGAACUAUGCGUGGAUAGGGUGAAGCCAGAGGAAACUCUGGUGGAGGCUCGCAGCGGUUCUGACGUGCAAAUCGAUCGUCAAAUCUGCGCAUGGGGGCGAAAGACUUAUCGAACCAUCUAGUAGCUGGUUACCGCCGAAGUUUCCCUCAGGAUAGCAGUGUUGUUCUUCAGUUUUAUGAGGUAAAGCGAAUGAUUAGGGACUCGGGGGCGCUUUUUAGCCUUCAUCCAUUCUCAAACUUUAAAUAUGUAAGAAGCCCUUGUUACUUAAUUGAACGUGGGCAUUCGAAUGUACCAACACUAGUGGGCCAUUUUUGGUAAGCAGAACUGGCGAUGCGGGAUGAACCGAACGCGGGGUUAAGGUGCCGGAGUGGACGCUCAUCAGACACCACAAAAGGUGUUAGCACAUUUAGACAAUAGGACGGUGGCCAUGGAAGUCGGAAUCCGCUAAGGACUGUGUAACAACUCACCUAUCGAAUGUGCUAGCCCUGAAAAUGGAUGGCGCUCAAGCGUCCCACCCAUACCUCGCCCUCAGGGUAGAAACGAUGCCCUGAGGAGUAGGCGGC
rnacentral:rRNA from 1 species